rnacentral:rRNA from 1 species
CGUAGGGUGCGAGCGUUAUCCGGAAUUAUUGGGCGUAAAAGAGCUCGUAGGCGGUUUGUCGCGUCUGUCGUGAAAGUACCGGGGCCGUUAACCCCGGAGUCUGGCGGUGGGUACGGGCAGACUAGAGUGCAGUAGGGGAGACUGGAAUUCCUGGUGUAGCGGUGGAAUGCGCAGAUAUCAGGAGGAACACCGAUGGCGAAGGCAGGUCUCUGGGCUGUAACUGACGCUGAGGAGCGAAAGCAUGGGGGAGCGAACAGGAUU